ACACGUGUGCUACCGAAGUAUAUAUAAGAGGAAAACCAGUGGAGUAGCGCCAUGAAUACAGAGGAAAGAGAGACGUGGAGAGAGAGACAGAAGGAGGGAAAAUAACUACUCUUCUAAUUUCUCCAUUACGGUUUCUCUUUUCUUUUUCUUUUUUCUUUUUUUCGAUUUUCAGGGUUUUAUAGUAUUCUCUCUUUUUCUUUUUUUGAAAGGAAAACCCUAAUUCCCAAUUGGGUUUUCCAAUUCAAAUUGGAAUUAUUAUGAAAGCAAAUUCUUUGUUUUUUCUCCUUCAAAAACUACCCCUUUUGAUUCUUUCUUGUGUCAUAAGUUGCUGAAAACAAUAAUACCAAUUACCCAUGACCCGACCCAUUGAACUCGAACCGCCCACUACUACUGCUACUACUCCAGCCACGUUCGUACGCGCUGCUUACAGAGCCUUAAGGAGUACCAUUAUUGUUACUUCCUUUUUUUCUUUUUUGCAUUCCUUUUAGUUUUCUUUUUUCUAUAAAGAAAAUGACGUUUUUUUGUUAUUGGUUUUUUGUUAUUUUGUUUCUGGGUUUGAAUUGUUUUGUGUAGAUGAAGCAGAGCAUAUUGGAAGGGCUGAUUCUGAUAAGUUUAACUCUGUCAUUAAUGAAGUGGAAAGUUUGCACCAGCAUGGUAACCUUCAUAUUACUUACUAUAUUAUAUUCUGAUAAUUCAUGUUUAAUUGUUGCUUAAAAUAAGGGGGAACAAAAGAGAAAGUCGAGUUCUCUUUGCAAUUCAUGAAGCAGUCUCAUUGUUGUCCGUUUAUUUAUUGUUGAUUCUUUAUUGGGUAUAUAUAAAAUUGGGUGAUGAUACUCUAUGGAGUUGGUGAUUGCUGAUAGUAAUGAAGUUAAUUUUGUGUUCUUGAUGCACAAAGUUACUAGCAUUCUCUAGUCUUUGAUAGGACGCGUACGUUUGAGAAUUAUUUUUCCUUUUCUGGCAAGUCCUAAAAAGAAAAAACAAAUGCAAGAAUUCAAUUGAAUUGAAUUUUGUUUAGUAAAAUCUUACUGUUCGGAAAAGCUAAUAGUUGCUAGAACUGAAUUCUUUAAAGGAAAAUGAAAGCUAGGCAUUCAUGCCCAAAAUUGGCAUGAUUUUGCAAGAAUUUUAAUUCUGAUUGAUUUGCCUAUUUUUAUCAUUGCCGUAUGGACAAAGUGAAUGGAGACCGUUUCUGCUUCAAGUACCAUAUAAUUAUGUAUCUAUUUAUGAUCCAACUGCCUUCACCCUCAUCGUUGUUAUUGUUUUUUAUUUUAUC
rnacentral:lncRNA from 1 species